rnacentral:rRNA from 1 species
AUGAACGCUUGCGGCGUGCCUAAUACCUGCAAGUCGAGCGCACGGACGAGAAGCUUGCUUCUCUGAUGUUAGCGGCGGACGGGUGAGUAACACGUGGAUAACCUACCUAUAAGACUGGGAUAACUUCGGGAAACCGGAGCUAAUACCGGAUAAUAUUUUGAACCGCAUGGUUCAAAAGUGAAAGACGGUCUUGCUGUCACUUAUAGAUGGAUCCGCGCUGCAUUAGCUAGUUGGUAAGGUAACGGCUUACCAAGGCAACGAUGCAUAGCCGACCUGAGAGGGUGAUCGGCCACACUGGAACUGAGACACGGUCCAGACUCCUACGGGAGGCAGCAGUAGGGAAUCUUCCGCAAUGGGCGAAAGCCUGACGGAGCAACGCCGCGUGAGUGAUGAAGGUCUUCGGAUCGUAAAACUCUGUUAUUAGGGAAGAACAUAUGUGUAAGUAACUGUGCACAUCUUGACGGUACCUAAUCAGAAAGCCACGGCUAACUACGUG